AUUGAACGCUGGCGGCAUGCCUUACACAUGCAAGUCGAACGGUAACGGGCCUUCGGGUGCCGACGAGUGGCGAACGGGUGAGUAAUACAUCGGAACGUGCCCGAUCGUGGGGGAUAACGAGGCGAAAGCUUUGCUAAUACCGCAUACGAUCUACGGAUGAAAGCAGGGGACCGCAAGGCCUUGCGCGGAUGGAGCGGCCGAUGGCAGAUUAGGUAGUUGGUGGGAUAAAAGCUUACCAAGCCGACGAUCUGUAGCUGGUCUGAGAGGAUGAUCAGCCACACUGGGACUGAGACACGGCCCAGACUCCUACGGGAGGCAGCAGUGGGGAAUUUUGGACAAAGGGCGCAAGCCUGAUCCAGCCAUGCCGCGUGCAGGAUGAAGGCCUUCGGGUUGUAAACUGCUUUUGUACGGAACGAAAAGCCUUCUUUUAAUACAGGAGGGUCAUGACGGUACCGUAAGAAUAAGCACCGGCUAACUACGUG
rnacentral:rRNA from 1 species